GAUGAACGCUGGCGGCGUGCCUAAUACAUGCAAGUCGAGCGAACGGACGAGAAGCUUGCUUCUCUGAUGUUAGCGGCGGACGGGUGAGUAACACGUGGAUAACCUACCUAUAAGACUGGGAUAACUUCGGGAAACCGGCGCUAAUACCGGAUAAUAUUUUGAACCGCAUGGUUUAAAAGUGAAAGACGGUCUUGCUGUCACUUAUAGAUGGAUCCGCGCUGCAUUAGCUAGUUGGUAAGGUAACGGCUUACCAAGGCAACGAUGCAUAGCCGACCUGAGAGGGUGAUGGGCCAGCCUGGAACUGAGACACGGUCCAGGCUCCUACGGGAGGCAGCAGUAGGGAAUCUUGCGCAAUGGGCGAGAGCCUGACGGAGCAACGCCGCGUGAGUGAUGAAGGUCUUCGGAUCGUAAAACUCUGUUAUUAGGGAAGAACAUAUGUGUAAGUAACUGUGCACAUCUUGACGGUACCUAAUCAGAAAGCCACGGCUAACUACGUG
rnacentral:rRNA from 1 species